AGAGAUCGCUCAUCGCACCCGUCAUUGCGUGCCCUGCCCCGCCACCACUCCCUCGUGUUCUUUCCCUUCGGAAGACUCGAAGUAUUACAGUCGCCAGCAUGGCCCGCCGUCCGUCCCGCUGCUACCGGUUCUGCAAGAACAAGCCGUACCCGAAGUCGCGCUUCUGCCGUGGUGUGCCGGAUCCGAAGAUCCGCAACUUCGACAUUGGCCGACGUCGCGCCACCGUCGAUGAGUUCCCGGUGUGCAUCCACGUCGUGUCCCGCGAGCUGGAGCAGAUCGCGUCCGAGGCGCUGGAGGCUGCCCGCAUUCAGGCCAACAAGUACAUGGUGAAGCGUGCCAACAAGGACGUGUUUCACAUGCGCACCCGCGCCCACCCCUUCCAUGUGCUGCGCAUCAACAAGAUGCUCUCGUGCGCCGGCGCCGAUCGUCUGCAGACCGGCAUGCGUGGUGCCUUCGGUAAGCCGAACGGCGUGUGCGCUCGCGUCCGCAUUGGCCAGAUCCUGCUGUCCAUGCGCACCAAGGAGGCGUACGUGCCGCAGGCCUUCGAGGCCCUGCGCCGCGCCAAGAUGAAGUUCCCCGGCCGCCAGAUCAUCGUCAUGUCCAAGUACUGGGGCUUCACCAACAUCCUCCGCACCGAGUACGAGGCUCUGCGCGACGCCGGCAAGCUCGAGCAGCGCGGUACCCACUGCAAGCUGAUCGCCCCCAAGGGCAAGAUCACGAUGCGCAACGUGAUGGCGUAAGCUCUCGCAGCAGCGUGAAACGCGUGGGGAAACGGGUGCGUGCGUCUGUGUGUGCGUGUUCAAAUGGCAUCCGCAGCGUGCCGCGCGCACCCGUGCCCGAGCACCUCUGGGAUGAACGACCUCUCUCGUCGAUUGAACGCGAUGUCACCAAUGGCAGUCAUCUUUUUUUCCCCCUUUUUUCACGGGCGCUCUGUGGCGUGCGCCUUUCAUUUCUUGUUUUGACCCCUCGGC
rnacentral:misc_RNA from 1 species